UUAAUUCAACUGUUCCAUCAAUCGACGAAUUGUCGAUACAGGUAUCCACCGACGGACUCCCUCUUCAUAGAGGUGGACCUACACAGCUCUGGCCCAUCCUUAUGAAGAUUGUAGAACUGCCCUCAGCCCCAAUUAUGAUGAUCGCAGUGUUUUGUGGACCAGCAAAACCAACCAGUCUGGAAGUAUUUUAAAGACAGUUUGUAGAGGAGGCAAAUGACAUUCAUCGAAGGGGAUUGCGGAUCGGAGAUAAAAUGAUAAAAUUCUCGAUCCAAGCUAUUAUUGCAGAUUCUCCUGCGCGGGCUUUCCUUAAAGCAACAACCUACUUCAAUGGAUAUCACGGUUGUAUGAGGUGUACCUGUGUUGGGGAAUACUAUAAACCUGGAAAAAAAAUUAUUUUCGACUCCGUUGGCGCUCCUCUACGAACGCACCAUGGAUUUAAAUCUAGGGAUUGUCCGGGUCAUCACCAGGAAUGGCGUUCACCCCUGGAAGACCUUGAUAAUUUUGAUAUGGUGGAUAAAUUACCGACUAGUUGUGGGUUGCACUUAUGCGAUGAGGGUGCGACUCGCCGACACUUGUGCGGUCUUAUAGGUGGAUCUGCAGCAAGGCUUGCGACAUGGAUACUGGACGAAGUUGAGUUUUGCGGUCCUGAUGAUUUGGUUUUCUUUGAUGUUCCAGGAAGCAAUAAGGAUGAUGCCGAAAUGAUGCUGGAUGAGGAUGUUGGUGGUCGGACGAGCUUCACUGGAGUGUUCACGGAAGUAUUGAUGAUGAUGCCGAGAGGAUGCGAGAUGAUGAUGCUGAUGUUGACAACUGUACCAGUUUUGCUGGGGCAUUUACGUUGAGGACUGGUCGGCAAAUUCGUUCAGAUUUAAUAAUCACUGGUCUAUUUGCCUGUUUUGCACUUUCAGGAGCUGAUGACGGUGAUGCCGAAAGGACGCGGGGCGAGGAUGCUGAUGAUUGCACGAGCUUCGCUGGGGCAUUCACGUGAAGGACUGGUCGGCAAAUUCGUUCAGAUUUAAUAAUCACUGGUCUAUUUAUCUGUUUUGCACUUUCAGGAGCUGAUGACGGUGAUGCCGAAAGGACGCUGGGCGAGGAUGCUGAUGAUUGCACGAGCUUCGCUGGGGCAUUCACGUGAAGGACUGGUCGGCAAAUUCGUUCAGAUUUAAUAAUCACUGGUCUAUUUGUCUGUUUUGCACUUUCAGGAGCUGAUGACGGUGAUGCCGAAAGGACGCUGGGCGAGGAUGCUGAUGAUAGCACGAGCUUCGCUGGGGCAUUCACGUUAAGGACUGGUCGGCAAAUUCGUUCAGAUUUAAUAAUCACUGGUCUCUUUGCCUGUUUCGCAGUGCAAGGAGCUGAUGACGGUGAUGCCGAAAGGACGCGGGGCGAGGAUGCGAUGGCUGACGAUUGAACCAGGUUCACAGGGGCAUUCACGUGCCAGGAGCCGAUAAUGGAGAUGCCGAAAGGACGCAGGAUGAUUUUUUUGACCAUUGCACGAGCUUCACAGGGGCAUUCACGGAAGGAAUAAUGGUGAUGUAGAUAUGGAUGUCUUUAAUGGUACGAGGGUCGCUGGUACUACCGAUGCCUGCGCUUUUACGCUGAGAUCUGGAAAUGAUGCCAUCGGUGCCGUUAUCGUUUUAUACACGUUGUUUGAAGCCAUUUCGCUAAACGUAUCCUAAAUGAACAUUUUGUUUAUUUAGUGAACCAUUUGAUUUCAAUUUAUCCUAAUUAAUAGGUACCUUUUUAUGUUUUGCAGAAAAUCCGACAGAAAUAAUAAAACAAAUUUUAGAUUUCAGCUUAUGAAGCAUCACCGAACAA